AUGAACGCUGGCGGCGUGCCUAAUACCUGCAAGUCGAGCGAACAGACGAGGAGCUUGCUCCUCUGACGUUAGCGGCGGACGGGUGAGUAACACGUGGAUAACCUACCUAUAAGACUGGGAUAACUUCGGGAAACCGGAGCUAAUACCGGAUAAUAUAUUGAACCGCAUGGUUCAAUAGUGAAAGACGGUUUUGCUGUCACUUAUAGAUGGAUCCGCGCCGCAUUAGCUAGUUGGUAUGGUAACGGCUUACCAAGGCAACGAUGCGUAGCCGACCUGAGAGGGGUGACCGGCCCCCCGGGACCUGAGCACCGGCCCAACUCCCUACGGGAGGCAGCAGGAGGAAAUUUUCCGCAAUGGGCGAAAGCCUGACGGAGCAACGCCGCGGGGGUGAUGAAGGUCUUCGGAUCUUAAAACUCUUUUUUUAGGGAAGAAAAAAUGUUUAAGUAACUAUGCCCGUCUUGACGGUACCAAAGCAAAAAGCCACGGCUAACUACGU
rnacentral:rRNA from 1 species